AGAGUGGACGCUGGCGGUAGGCCUAACACAUGCAAGUCGAACGGCAGCACGGUAAGAGCUUGCUCUUAUGGGUGGCGAGUGGCGGACGGGUGAGGAAUACAUCGGAAUCUACCUUUUGGUGGGGGAUAACGUAGGGAAACUUACGCUAAUACCGCAUACGCCCUUCGGGGGAAAGCCGGGGACCAGCAAUGGCCUGGCGCUGAUAGAUGAGCCGAUGUCGGAUUAGCUAGUUGGUGAGGUAAUGGCUCACCAAGGCGACGAUCCGUAGCUGGUCUGAGAGGAUGAUCAGCCACACUGGAACUGAGACACGGUCCGGACUCCGUACGGGAGGCAGCAGGUGGGGAAUAUUGGACAAGUGGGCGCAAGCCUGAUCCAGCCAUACCGCGUGGGUGAAGAAGGCCUUCGGUUAGUAAGCCUUUUGUAGGAAGGAAAGCAUUCGGUUAAUACCCGGUGUUCUGACGUACCAAAGAAUAAGACACCGCUAACUCGUAGCCGAGCAGCCGA
rnacentral:rRNA from 1 species